rnacentral:rRNA from 1 species
AGUGAACGCUGGCGGUAGGCCUAACACAUGCAAGUCGAACGGCAGCACAGUAAGAGCUUGCUCUUACGGGUGGCGAGUGGCGGACGGGUGAGGAAUACAUCGGAAUCUACUUUUUCGUGGGGGAUAACGUAGGGAAACUUACGCUAAUACCGCAUACGACCUACGGGUGAAAGCAGGGGAUCUUCGGACCUUGCGCGAUUGAAUGAGCCGAUGUCGGAUUAGCUAGUUGGCGGGGUAAAGGCACACCAAGGCGACGAUCCGUAGCUGGUCUGAGAGGAUGAUCAGCCACACUGGAACUGAGACACGGUCCAGACUCCUACGGGAGGCAGCAGUGGGGAAUAUUGGACAAUGGGCGCAAGCCUGAUCCGGCCAUACCGCGUGGGUGAAGAAGGCCUUCGGGUUGUAAAGCCCUUUUGUUGGGAAAGAAAAGCAGCAGGUUAAUACCCCGCUGUUCUGACGGUACCCAAAGAAUAAGCACCGGCUAACUUCGUG